GACAGAGGGUGCAAACGUUUGUUCGGAAUUACUGGGCGUAAAGCGCGUGUAGGCGGCUAAGUAAGUCGGGCGUGAAAUCCCACGGCUCAACCGUGGAAGUGCACUCGAAACUGCAUAGCUAGAGUCCUGGAGAGGAAGGUGGAAUGCUUGGUGUAGAGGUGAAAUUCGUAGAUAUCAAGCGGAACACCAGUGGCGAAGGCGGCUCACUGGCCCGGUACUGGACGCUGAGGUGCGAAAGCGUGGGGAGCAAAC
rnacentral:rRNA from 1 species